rnacentral:rRNA from 1 species
UACGAGUGGUGCAAGCGUUAUUCGGAAUUACUGGGCGUAAAGGGUGCGUAGGUGGCAUAUUAAGUCAACUGUUAAAUUCCCCGGCUUAACUGGGGGUCAGCGGUAGAAACUGAUAUGCUAGAGGUUGGAAGAGAGAAGUGGAAUUCUUGGAGUAGCGGUAAAAUGCGUAGAUCUCAAGAGGAACACCGAUGGCGAAGGCAGCUUCUUGGUCCAUACCUGACACUGAGGCACGAAAGCGUGGGGAGCAAACAGG